GGUAACUAAAAAUGGUAAAUGGAUUCAGGGUUGGGUUAGUAAUUAUUCUCACAUCACCACCAUUAAAGGCAGGGUCAAACAAUCCACCCCAAAAUACUGCUUUUGCUACUAAUAACCAUGCCCCAAUACCCAAAAGAAUCAGAUGAAUUCCCAGGAUAUUGGUCAUUUUAUCUUUAUCUUCCCA
rnacentral:antisense_RNA from 1 species